rnacentral:lncRNA from 1 species
AGUAAACAGAUAAUAACUCGCUGAAAAACUCGGCGAUUUGGAUUUCGCCCGUAGGUGAUAAUUAGGGGAAGUGGCCGACUUUAAAGCGGCGAUAUCACUCAAAUCGCCUUGUAGGAUGAUCCCUGCAUUUGGAAUACAUGGAAAAGUUCUUUUUGAUCUGACAGGCUUGCGACAAAGUUGGGGAAAAAAAAGCACUGAGAAAGAUGCUUUGUUUAUAACACAAUGCUAUUAAGAGAGCUUGUGCAUUUCUUAUAAUAAUCAAUAAUGAAGAUCAGGACAAUGAAAUGUACAUAAAUUUCGAUACAGACUAAACCUGAAAAUUCAUGAAACUAUUAAACCAAGUGAGAGAUGAGAAAGUUAUCAAAAAUUAUUGUAAGAAAGGAUGUAUGCAGUGAAUGAUCCUGACUUGUACGCAUUUAAGAUUUAAACCCUGUUUCACAUUAUCAAUUUAAGACCCAAAAUGCCUUUGUCAAAAAUGAAAUGCACGUAAAACUAAGAAAGUAGAUUGCAUUAACAUCAGAAAGUAUAUUUGACUACUAUUUGUAUUACUUCCCUUGAAUUGGUCAGGUAUUGUAGAGUGUAUGGAAAUGCUGUCUUCACUGUGAUAAUGAAACCUGUGUAUAUUGAUUAGACUCUUAUCUCAUUGGUACUUCACAUUGUAAGUGCUUUAUAAAGGCAGCUUGAAUAAACAUGACAAAAUUUAA